rnacentral:misc_RNA from 1 species
GAGAAUGCCAACAAGACGAUAUCGUGGAUUCCCUUACGAGUGUGGAGGAAGUUGAGAAUGGUGGCGAAGCAGUUUCAGAGCUUAAUGGAACAAAUGGUUACAUUUCCAGUGACAAACAAGAUAGCCGCCAGUUUCUGCAUCUACUAAGAUUGUCCAGUGAUGGACUCGAAAUCAACCGAGGACGCACCGAGUGGAGAAAGAAACAACAGAGAUGAGGGUAAUGGUUCUAUGAUCUAUAUUAUGUUUCACUAUUU